rnacentral:rRNA from 1 species
AAUGAACGUUGGCGGCGUGGAUUAGGCAUGCAAGUCGUGCGGAAAGGCUCCUUCGGGAGUACUCGAGCGGCGUAAGGGAGAGUAACGCGUGGAUAUCUACCCCCUGGACUGGGAUAGCGGCGGGAAACUGCCGGUAAUAUCAGAUAAUGUCUGCUGACCAAAGGUGUGAUUCCGCCGGGGGAUGAGUUCGCGUCCUACUAGCUAGUUGGUAGGGUAAUGGCCUACCAAGGCAAAGAUGGUUACCGGGUGUGAGAGCAUGGCCCGGCUCACUGGGACUGAGACACUGCCCAGACACCUACGGGUGGCUGCAGUCGAGAAUCUUCGGCAAUGGGCGCAAGCCUGACCGAGCGACGCCGCGUGCGGGAUGAAGGCCUUCGGGUUGUAAACCGCUGUCAGAGGGGAGGAAAUGCGUGAGAGUUCUCUCUCACGUUUGACCUAUCCUCAGAGGAAGUACGGGCUAAGUUCGUGCCAGCCGCCGCGGUAAAAC